GACGAACGUUGGCGGCGUGCUUAAUACAUGCAAGUCAACUGAAGCAGUGGUAGCAAUAUCGCUGUGGAGGUGGCGCACGGGUGAGUAACACGUAGGUAAUCUGCCUUCAGGUCUGGCAUAACUCCGGGAAACCGGGGCUAAUAGCAGAUGAUGCAGCGGCUCGACAUCGAGACAGUUGUUAAAGCUAUGGCGCCUGAAGAUGAGCCUGCGUCUGAUUAGCUAGUUGGCGGGGUAACGGCCCACCAAGGCAACGAUCAGUAGCUGGGCUGAGAGGAUGAUCAGCCACGCUGGAACUGAGACACGGUCCAGACUCCUACGGGAGGCAGCAGUAAGGAAUAUUGCUCAAUGGGAGAAAUCCUGAAGCAGCAACGCCGCGUGAGGGACGAAGGGCUUUUGCUUGUAAACCUCUGUAGUGAGAGAAAAAAAUCCCAAUCUUUGGGACAUGAUGGUAUCUCAAAAGUAAGCCCCGGCUAACUACGUG
rnacentral:rRNA from 1 species